GCGAUCAUACCAGCACUAAUGCACCGGAUCCCAUCAGAACUCCGCAGUUAAGCUUGCUUGGGCGAGAGUAGUACUAAGAUGGGUGACCUCCUGGGAAGUCCUCGUGUUGCACCCC
rnacentral:rRNA from 1 species